rnacentral:lncRNA from 1 species
UAACGUUUAAUCUCUGGCAGGUGGAGGAAAACGAGUGGGUGGUGGAUUAUGCCCUGAAGAAACGCAAUGUCCGUUUGGUGGCCACAGGACUGGACUUUGGCAAGGAAGGUUUCACCAGGUUCAAGGACCGGCGUUUCCACCCCUCCCUCAAGCAUACACGGCGUUUCUAUCCCCACACACACAACAUGGAUGGGUUCUUCAUUGCCAAAUUCAAGAAGUUCUCUAACGCCAUUCCCAAGGCACAAAAAGGUAACCUGGUACUGGAGCUCUGCUGAGCUGCCUGGGCCUGCUCUCACGGGCUGCUUGUGGGAGGUUUUCAGCCCUUUGCUGAUGUGUUUUGCCCUCUGGCAGCUCAGCUCAUGAAGAACACAGGGAUGAUCUUGGCCAAUGACAGCAAUGCUGAGCGGCUGCGUAGCGUGGUGGGGAACUUGCAUCGUCUGGGAGUCACCAAUGCUGUGGUGAGCAACUGCGACGGACGCCAGUUCCCCAAGGUACGUUCCUAUUUGCUCCGGAGUGUUCUUCCUGUGCAGAGUUGUGCUGUCCCCUUAGCAAAGCUUUGUUCUGUGAAGUUGUUUCUCACAGAAGGAUGAGCAGAGCUGCAGGGGAGUGUGCUUGUUGCUUCAUGUGGAAACAUGAAGGGAGACGGGAAGGAUCGAGAGAUCUUUCCUGCUUUCCCAGUCACCUGGUUCCAUUUCUAGUCUCAGUCUUGUUCUCAGUCCCUACCAAUGAGCAUAACUCUAAAUGUAUGUCUGCCUGUAGGUACUUGGAGGGUUUGACCGUGUCUUGCUUGACGCUCCUUGUAGCGGAACAGGCGUCAUUUCCAAGGACCCUGCUGUCAAAACCAAUAAGGUGAGUGCCCAGUGGGGAUGCUAGGUGAGGGAUCAGGUGUGCGUCGUGAGAGGGAGGACUUCAGGGCAACUGCGUUCUUGGGAGAUCUCUGCAGUAGGGAAACCGAUUUUUCUUGCUCUUUUCUAUUCUGCCUGUUUCACUGGAGCUAUUUUUAUUUAUUUAUUUUUUGAGAUUAGUUCUGCAGAAGACUGCAGAAUCUCUUAUAUCUUGUGCCUUGUUCUCCUGCCACCUCUCCAUCCACAGUAGUUUCAGAAGCCUGGUGGUGCUUCCUUGUACCUCUGGCAUCCUAACCUGUCUUUCCCUUUCAGGAUGAGAAAGACAUCCUGCGCUGCGCUCACCUGCAGAAGGAGCUGCUUCUCAGUGCUAUAGAUUCGGUCAAUGCUGCCUCAGAGACAGGGGGCUACGUUGUGUACUGCACCUGCUCCAUCACGGUAAGUCCACGCUGUCGUGGUUAUCUCCUCAGGAGCUGGCAGGCCUCAGGUCCUAACGUUUAAUCUCUGGCAGGUGGAGGAAAAUGAGUGGGUGGUGGAUUAUGCCCUGAAGAAACGCAAUGUCCGUUUGGUGGCCACAGGACUGGACUUUGGCAAGGAAGGUUUCACCAGGUGCGUGCCAGUUCACCAGCUGACCAGGGUUCACCAGGGGCAUUCUGUCAUUUCUCAUCACUUUUCCUCCUCCAGGUUCAAGGACCGGCGUUUCCACCCCUCCCUCAAGCAUACACGGCGUUUCUAUCCCCACACACACAACAUGGAUGGGUUCUUCAUUGCCAAAUUCAAGAAGUUCUCUAACGCCAUUCCCAAGGCACAAAAAGGUAACCUGGUACUGGAGCUCUGCUGAGCUGCCUGGGCCUGCUCUCACGGGCUGCUUGCCACGCAGAAACCACGUGGGUUCUUCCUGCAGCACUUCUCUCUCUUGUUGCAGAUGAAGAACCCGCUGUGGAAGCAGCAAGUCCGUCUGCUGGCCCUGAGACUGUCAUGGAGCCUCAGCCAAAAAAGAAGAAACUUGAGGACACACAAAUUGUCCAGGAACAGAAAAAAAGCAAGCCUGCUUUGAAGAAGAGACGUUCUUUGCAGGGGCAGAGGAGACCCUUGAAGGCUGUCCCGCGUUCUUUCCAGAAGCCACACGCUCAAGUCCCUGCAAGGAAGAAGCACAAGGUGAAACAGAACGGACAGUGAGAGGAACUGCUCUUCAGGUGUUGUAUCCCUCCGUAGGGAGCAGAGGUUGGCGGGCUGUCCUGGCUGCGUGUGUACCACAUUGCUUUUCCUGCUCUGUGCAGAUACUCACUGCAGUGCUGAGUGCCCAGGACAGCCACAACAACCCCCUUCACUCCUUUCUCUCCUCUGCAUCAAGGACUGACACACUGACCCAUUAAAAGUUUUAUACUCUUGCUCAAAUCUUGUCCUUUUCCCUCGAGUGUUGAACAGAGAACUCUGUCAUGUCCCCUUUCUCCUUUGCAACAGAAGGAGAUCUCCUUCCACUUCCAUCCGAUGCCCUGGUAUUUUCGGUGUCUGUUCUUACUGCU